rnacentral:rRNA from 1 species
UACGACUACAUAUCAGGCAUAUCAAUAAGCGGAGGAAAAGAAACUAACAAGGAUUCCCUUAGUAACGGCGAGUGAAGCGGGAAGAGCUCAAAUUUGAAAUCUUCAAGGUUCUACCUUGACGAAUUGUAGUUUAAAGAAGUGUUUUCUGUUAGAUGAGUAGCAAAAGCUCCUUGGAAUGGGACAUCAUAGAGGGUGAGAAUCCCGUAUUUGGUUAUUCAUUCUAGCUUUGUGAUACACUUUCAAAGAGUCGGAUUGUUUGGGAAUGCAGUCCAAAAUGGGUGGUAAAUUUCAUCUAAAGCUAAAUAUUGGCGAGAGACCGAUAGCGAACAAGUACCGUGAGGGAAAGAUGAAAAGAACUUUGAAAAGAGAGUUAAACAGUACGUGAAAUUGUCAAAAGGGAAGCGUUUGACACCAGUGUUGUUUUUCCGAAAAUCAAUUACGAAUGGCUUGAUUUUGUGUUGUAUUGACCUUAUCAGCUUUCUGCACUUUUUUCGAGUCUUUCUUAAUGCACUUUUCGGUUAACAAGUCAACAUCAAUUUCUUUUGUUGUAAAAGAGUAUUCGGAAGGUGGCUUUCUUUUCGGAGAAAGUGUUUAUAGCCCUAUACUUCUACAAUCGGAGAGAUUGAGGUCUGCAGCGUAGAUCCUUCUGAGGUUAGAUACACUUGUGCUAAGUUGUAGCUUUUCAUAGACAACUUGUUGACUAUGUUUAGUCAUGCGGCUUACUCGCUGAUGCUAUUUUACCUACGCUUAGGAUGUUGAGUAGCGACAUACGCAC